ensembl:lncRNA
GGGACACUGAAGGGAGGCGAGAGGAGGGGGACACUGAAGGGAGGCGAGAGGAGGGGGACACUGAAGGAAGGAGAGAAGAGGGGGACAGUAAAUGGAGGACAGAAGAGGAGGACAGUAAAGGGAGGAGAGAAGAGGGAGACACUGAAGAGAGGCGAGAGGAGGGGGACACUGAAGGAAGGAGAGAAGAGGGGGACAGUAAAUGGAGGACAGAAGAGGAGGACAGUAAAGGGAGGAGAGAAGAGGGAGACACUGAAGGGAGGAGAGAAGAGGAGGACACUGAAGGGAGGAGAGAAGACCGGGACAAUGUCAACAGUGAAGCAACAUCCUUUGACCAAAUACCCCCCCACUCUCUUGAUUCGCUUGAGACAGAGAAGAGACGUGAAGAAAGAGGUAAGUAAAAGCUGUUCAUCUUGAGGUGAAACACCGGAAAAGGUCUCCUUGUGAAGUAAUGGUUAUUUUAAUGAAUAUAGCUUUGUCCUUCUACUAUUUCUAUAUAAUUCUAUUUUAAAUUAGUCUCGUAUGUAAAAUAAAUACUGUACAGUUACCUAUAUAUUUAUCAUGUUUUGAUGUGUUUCUGACCUGGAUUUGUUUGUAACACAUGCAUGUUUUUGUACGGUGUGUGUGUGUGUAUGUGUGUAUGUGUGUGUGUGUGUGUGUGUGUGUGUGUGUGUGUGUGUGUGUGUGUGUGUAUGUGUGUGUGUGUGUGUGUGUGUGUGUGUGUGUGUGUGUGUGUGUGUGUGUGUGUGUGUGUGUGUGUGUGUGUGUGUGUGUGUGUGUGUGUGUGUGUGUGUGUGUGUGUGUGUGUGUGUGUGUGUGUGUGUGUGUGUGUGUGUGUGUGUGUGUGUGUGUGUAUGUGUGUGUGUGUGUGUGUGUGUGUGUGUGUGUGUGUGUGUGUGUGUGUGUGUGUGUGUGUGUGUGCAUAACACACCUGUCCUUCUCUACUCCAGAUGCUACAUUUGUGGAUGAUAACAGGGCGGACCUCAUUCAGAGGGUUACCACGGUGAAACUCAUAGCAGAAACACUUCUCCAGUGGCGUAUGAUCCACAAAGAGGCGUACCUUAAGAUCCUUGCUGCCCAGACCACACCAGAUCAGAUGAGGGAGCUGUACAACGUCUUAAACACAGACAAAGUCAAAUCAGCCUUCUAUAGGCUCCUUCAGAAGGAAGAGCCUUAUUUGGUCCAGGUGCCAGGUAGGUUAUACGGUCUGAUGUACCACGGCUGUCAUCCAAUCAGAAUUAAGGGCUCGAACCACCCAUUUUAUGUCUGAUAUACCACAGCUUUUAACCAAUCAGCAUCCAGAACCCAAACCACCCAGUUUAUAACAACGAUAAUAUUAUAAUACAUGAAGGCACAAUUUAUAGUACAAUAUGUACGUGUGUUUUGUAAAUUGUGCACAGUAUUUAGCAAUAAUAAUUAACCAGUUGUGAUGUGUGAUGUGUAAUGUGUAAUGUGUGAGUGUGAGUGUGUGUGUGUGUGUGUGUGUGUGUGUGUGUGUGUGUGUGUGUGUGUGUGUGUGUGAGUGUGAGUGUGUGUGUGUGUGUGUGUGUGUAUGUGAGU